UCUUUUUGUUAAAAAUUUAAAGUCUAGCCUGCCCACUGAAAAUUUGAAUGGCCGCGAUAUUUUGAUCGUGCUAAGGUAGCAUAAUCAUUAGUUUUUUAAUUGAAAGCUAGAAUGAAGGGUUGGAUAAGAAAAUAUCUGUCUAAAUAAAAUUUUUUAAAACUUUAUUUUUAAGUUAAAAAGCUUAAAUUUUUUUAAAAGACGAGAAGACCCUAUAGAGUUUUAUAAAUUAAUAAUUUUUUUUUUUAGUAUUAAGUUUUAAAUUUUAAAAAAUUUAUUUGAUUGGGGUGAUUAAAAAAUUUAAUUAACUUUUUUAUAUAAAAAUAUUAAUGAAUAGAUUUUUGAUCCAAUAAUUUUGAUUAAAGAUUAAAUUACCUUAGGGAUAACAGCGUAAUUUUAUUAGAGAGCUCUAAUCGAUAAUAAAGAUUGCGACCUCGAUGUUGGAUUAAAA
rnacentral:rRNA from 1 species